GAUAGUUCGUAAAUAUUUCAAAAAAAAAAAUCAAAUUUCACCAUAACCCAAUUCAACUACUCUCCAUCAAACUCAACAAAUCACGUUUCAAACUUAAACAGUUAACUCUCACAAAUAUUUAUAUGGGUAUGGACACAUACAAUCUAAGCAUAAUUAGUAAUUUUCUUUCUCUCUAAAUUAUGCGCACUUUUUACUUUCCUAAGCAGUUACAAAAAAAAAAAAGAACAAAAAAAAAGAGCGAAAAAACUUAAAAGCUAAUAAAGUACAUAUGUAUUUGUGAGUAAAACACUCACUGUCCCAUAUCUGCGCAAGAGCGUAUGUAAAUACAUAUGUACAUAAAUAAUUGCAGUCUCUCCUAGGCCAAUCUAUGCAGUCGAAUAACAAAAAUAAUGACAAUAUCCGAAAGGCGCGCGUACAUUCCCAUAAAGCAUAGAAAUUAGGUAAGGGGAUUUAUUGUUGUUGGUGAGAGCAAGUUUCAUAAAUUCAAAGGCAGCAAGCAGUCAACACGAGUAUUAUAAUUUAAAAGCAACAACAAGUAUAAAAAAUUGUUCAACACAUUCAUGCCCAUUACAUACAACGGCAUCUGCAUAUCAACCUUGACCUUUUCCAACGAAUGCAUGUAGCGGUGAAUUUAUGUAGGCAUGCAUGCACAACAACUGCACGACAAGCGGCAACUGCUGUCGCUGUUGGAAAUGUGUGCCAUUUUCUAGCUGACGGGAAUACCUGUACAUUAAUACUACUGACCUACUCCAACCUGCCUUCGGGGCCACACAGCACCGUUUCUUGAUACUAUCCAUUUUCAAGCUAUUUAAUGUGAUUACAUGCAUGGUAUGCACACAUAAGUAUUUUUCAGACUUCUUGCGGAAGUUUGCCAAACCAGAGUGCAGUGUAUCGCAUCUUCACGAAUUAGCCAGCCAUCGUCUUUGUGUGUUAAGUGCCGGAAAACAAAAGGAAAAACGUAAUUUACCAUAAAAAUGUUGCAUUGUUUGUUGACCCCAUUUCUCUUCCAUGUAAA